ACUUUAGGGAGCAAGGGGAGUGCUAUUUUCCCCUUAAAAUCAACCUCGGACCUCAUCAUCAUGAGGUCCGAUGCAGGCUUAAAAUGAAGUGGGAGAUGAAAUUGCCCAGGAUACCUUCCGAACUCAGCGAGCCGGCCAAAUAUUUCAACCAAGAUGGCGGACACCGCUGGAAAGGAACAAUUUAAUUGUAAGUAUAUAUUUGCAAAUAAGCAUGUUAAAAUUUCGAAAUAUGUUGGAAUGUGUUAGUUUGAUGCACAUCCAAAGGACAGUUGAGUUUUGAACACUAAUGUUAGAAAAUAUCUCAUGAAGCUAGCUAACGGGAAAGUUUACGGGAAAGUUUACGGGAAAGCUAACGGGAAAGUUCUCGUCAGUUCUAAUGACCGUUGCUCUGUUACAAACCGGAUCAUGCAUGCAACAGUAGGCUGUCCCGGUUUCAUUCAGAGUACUCCCACUAGCAUAUUAAAUGGAUACUUGUAUCAUGAUCAUAACUGGGAUAGUUAUGUACAUGUAAACACACUCGUCAGAUCGUAUUGACCAUUCAAAAAUCUGUCUUGUUCUCUCUUGUUGAUUUGCAAUUCACUAAAAGCUGCAACUGAUGUCUUAUAUUUAAGGGACUGUGGAGCAGACCUUUGGCCACCCUCAUGUCCCGGGACACUCCUCAGGGCACUACUAACAGGACAGGACAGUUUUUGCUGCCACUGCUUCUCGCUAUUCAUCAUAUUUGUAUGUUUAUAAGAAAGCAGUGAAAGACCUGGGCCUGGAAGGAAAAAUUACAGGAGAGAAGGCAAGCAAGAAGUGGGAGAAUCUAAAGAAGCGGUACAAGGACCUGAAACAACCAAAGACGGUCUCAGGUACAGACAGCGGCGAACAAACUGUAUCCAACUGGCGAUACUAUGAGGCGAUGCAUGCCGUUUUGGGGGGAAGGCCAGCGAUAGAUCCUCCGGUGAUUGUGGCCUCUUUCAAGCCGGCAGAGGACCCCACAACAUUGUUAAUGUUCAUCCCACUACAUCAACCACUACUCGUCCCCCGACCACUCCAGCUACUCCAGCCGCCACAACCCCAUCAUCUCCAAGAAAGAGGAAGAGAGGCAGUACUGUCGUUGUGGAUUACCUUAAAGCAGAAUCAGUUAAGGAGCAGAAAAGGAAACAAGGAGGCAGAGGAGGAAACAGAGGCCAAAACGGAGAGGUUUUUAACCCUCUUUGAAAAACUUGUGGACAAAAUGCCCGAAAAAUUGUUCUGUUGUGGUUCUUUUGUGUUCAGAUGUUAAAAUGUUCAAUAUUGAAUGUGCAAUAUUUUUAUUUAUUUAUAAAUUCUCAGUUAAGUGUUCAGCACUGUUUUUAUUUAAAUUGUUCGUUUUUUUAUAUUGAGGUGUUCGUUUUUUGAUCAGUGCAGUUUUUCAAUAAACCUUUUCAUGGGUUAAAGAAAAUGUGAGUGUUAGGUUUUGACCAGUCAUCAUACCAAUACACCAAUUGCAUGUCUAGAUCAUUAUAAAAGAAACCAUCACCAACAUGUUGUCAAAAUAAAAUUAAGUUUAAUAGAAAUUUAAAAA